CCUGGGUCCCUGCAUCAGGGGGCUCACCUGCUCGGUGGUUGGUGGGGGUGGAGGAUCUCUGGUUCUGGGUUCCUGUGAGAGCAAACAGGUGUUUUCAGUCUGUGCGUCACUGGUCGUGGGCGAGUGCGCGCAGGGGUGUGUGAGCUCAUUUAUGUUUGAGUUGCCAGACACACAAGCUGUGGACCCCAUCUUCCUUGGCACUACGUGGCACAAAGCAGGCCACCCCCAGGAAUUCAGGAGAUGGCAGGUUUGAGGCAAAAGGUCAGAGAAGGAGGGCUGUAGAAGAAAAAAUAACUGUUACAGAGCAAUUAAAACCUGUAUCUCAAGCCGGAUGGCAUGUGCCUGUAGUCCCAGCCACUCAGGAGGCUGAGGUGGGAGGAUCACUUGAGCCAGGAGUUCCAGGCCAGCAUGGGACAUAGCCAGCCCUGUCUCAAAAAAAGAAAGAAAAGAAAAAGAAAAAUCACAUGAAAACUCUACCUCCUGUUACCUUACAGAAGCAUCAAAUGAGUGGCCAUGUGUGUGUGUGUGUGUGUGUGUGUUCACAAUCUUCUCAGAAAAGUUUUAAAAAUGUGAAAAUGGGGUUGGGGUUGUGGCUCAGCCGUAGAGUGCUCACCUAGCAUGUGUGAGGCCCUGGGUUCCAUCCUCAGCACCACAUAAAAGUGAAUAAAUAAAAUGAAAGUAUUAAAAAAUGUUUUUAAAUGUGAAAUUAAUUUUAGUAAUAUAUUUUAUUUAACCCAAUGUGUCAGAGGUCUGCAUAUUUUUAUGAAACAUCACAUAGUAAGUAUUUGAGGAUCUGGGGGCCAGAUGUUCUCUGUUGAAACUAUUCAACAUUGAUUUUGUAGUGAGAAAUUAGCCACAGACGAUUCAUAGAGGAGUGAAGCUAUAUGCCAAAAGAAUUUGGUUUAAGGACACUGAAAUCUGAAUUUCAUAUAAUUUUCAUGUACCACAAAAUAUUAUUUUCCUCUUGGCUUUUUUCGACCAUUUGAAAAAUGUAAAAAGCUGUUUAUUACUUUGUAGGCUAUAGCAGGCCUUAGCAUGCCGACCUCCACUAUGCAUAAAAAAUAUGAUCAUUUCAGGAUGUAAUCAACACAAAAAUAUUGAUGAGAUAUUUUACUUUCUUUUGCUCAGACUCAGGCUUCAAAACCAGUGAGCAUUCAUAGCACAUUCUACUCAGAUGCUAACUUUUUAUGUUAAAUACUUGAUCUGGAUUUAGAUUUUUGUAAAAAUUUGCCAUUGAAAAAGAAGUUUCAAAGGCCCGACUUUCCCCAUUUAAAGGCGUUCUAAUAACUGAAUGGAGUAUAGGUCUUAAAUUGUAAAUUAAUUAAAAUUAAAAAUUCAGUACCUCAGUCGGACUGGCUGCGUUUCAAGUACUGGUAGCUACAGGUGACAAGUGACCUCUGUUUCAGACCUCAAAGAUCUGCAUGGUAAUGACUCAUUUAACUCACAAUCACCAAGGAGGCAGGACGUGGUAGCUUAAGAGGUAGCUGGGCAUAGAGGGGGCCUAGAGCCCACUGCCUGAGUUUGAGCACAACUCUCUACUUCCUACCUCAAUAACUAUGGGGUGCAGCAUCUGUCUCUCUGGGCCUUUGCUCCAUCAUCAUAAUGAGAGUCACAAUGCCUGGCUUGCGGAAGGGACUAAAUACUCACUUUAAGGAUGAGAAAGUGGAGGCACUCUUCCCAUCUCCCAGCCACACUUACAGGCUCCUGGUCCUGCCAGGGAGCUGGAGUGGAAAGGGAGAACCCUCCAGGCCUCUGAGAGGUCAGAUUUCCUGUCUGUGGGCUGCUCACCUGCACAAGCCCCUCCUCCUGCCUAAUCAUCCUCAGUUUUGCCCUCUAUAUGGUGGCUGCUACUGCUGUCCUCUGCGGCUCUCCUGAGGGAUAAAUCCAGGAGAUAAGGUUGUUUGGGGCCUGGAUCCCCAGGGUUCUAAUCCCAGAUCCUACCUUUUGCAGGUGUGACCUGGGCAGGUUGCUGCACCUCUGUGUGACUCAGUUGCUCAUCCAUAAAAUGGGGCUGAUAAUAGUCUAAACCCACAGGACUGGUGUGAGGAUUAAAAUAAGUAAGCUCGUAUAAGAGGCUUAGGCGGGCAGUGCGCGGUAACCGCCAUUGCGUAUUACUAUUUAGUACCGUUAUUACUGUUGCUGUCUCAAUACUAAGAAUCCUGUGGUUGUGAGGCAAAUCUCAAUUUUAUGUGCUCAAGG
rnacentral:lncRNA from 1 species